CGGGGUGCAGCCGGGGCCCUGUGAGGCUUCUCCCUCCUGGCCCUCUCUGUAGCCCUGCUUCCUCCUCCCCGCAAUUCCCUUAGUUAUCUUCUUUCCCCCAUUUCCCUCCCCCCAAUGCUGACUCAUUCCUGUCCUGUCCCUAGCCCGCUACUCCCUUCUAUUCCCCCUCUCUCCCACCUCUGUCCACGGUCCCUCUUCUCCACCUGCCGGGCUUUCCCUUCCCCUCCGGCUUUCCUCCCCAGCCCGACGUCCCUCCGUACCCUUUCUCAUCCCCUGCUAUCGCUCCUCUAUUCCCGUCCCCAUUUUCAUUCUUUCCCCGCGGCCGCGGGGCUCGGGGCGCCGGAGAAUAAAGCCCAGAGGGCCGGAGCCCGGCGCCCCUCGGCCCCUGCAGGAGUCCCCGCACGGGGCCGGAGCUCUCGGCGGAUCCCCCCGUGCCGCUCAGACACAGCGCCCGACACUGCCGGACCUGCGGCUCUCCCGACAUGCCGCUGAGAGCGGCCCCGCUCUGUGCCGAGCCGUCCCUGCCGCUCCCUGUCUCUGCCCCUCGGGGUGACAGCGAGGCUGGGGAGGAACUUCAGCCCCUCUCGGGUUGGAAGGGACCUCAAAAAAGACCCAGUUCCAUCCCCCUGUCCCGGGCAGGGACACCUUCCCCUGGGCCAGGUUGCUUUGCUGUGCCCCCAGAUCUGUCACCUGAGCUGAGCCGUCCCCACACGUUCCACGCAUGUUCCCGCAGAGACCACGCAAGCUUUGCCACAAGGAAAAGUCCUAAAGGCCCUGUUCAUCCCAAAGACAUCAAGCCUAGAAUUUCUUUCUUUCUGCACUGUUUGCACUUCUUUCUUUCUUUCUCAAAGUGUCACGCACAUCAAAUAUUGCUGCGGCCUACUCCUGUGGGAUUUUCAGGAGUAUUGGAUAUAGUUUCCUUUUUUUUUCCCUUUUCUUUGUAGCGGGAAAUCCUUCAAAAUCCUUUCCUCCUCCUCAAGACUCUGCGGCUCCUCAUUCCGUAGAAGCAGCCAAUUUGGAAGCACUCUGCAGAGAUCUAUCUGCCUGGGAGGAGAAGCAGAGGCGACCACUGAAAAGUGGCACGUGAGCUCUGGUGAGGACUGCUGCUCCGCCUGCCUUGGUGUGGGAACUGCUGAGCUGCCGUUCCUGUGGUGGGAGUGUUUCUCCUCUCAUGCAGGCAAGGCAGAGACCUGCCAGGUAAGGAGCAGGUAAGGUUUAAGUGACGAGAUGUCCCAAGGAAGAAGUGACAUGACAAAAGGAAAUGGCCUCGAGUUGCAGCAGGGAAGGCUUAGAUUGGAUUGUAGGAAACACUUCCUCACUGGAAGGGUGGUGAGGCAUUGGAGCAGGCUGCCCAGGGAAGUCCCCGUCCCUGGAGACAUGGAAAGGAUGUGUAGACGUGGUGUUUAGGGACCUGAUUUGGGGGUGGGGGGGGCUUGGCAGUGCUGGGGCAACGAGGGAGGCAGGGAGGGAGGGAGGGAGAAAAAUCCUCUCUUAACAUGUACCAAUUAAUCUGUGAAACUCAUCACGGCAGGACAGCACGAAGACUGAAAGUGUGAUAAGGUGUGGAGUGAAAUGGAGAAUCCGAGAAGUGACAAGAGCAUCCGGUGCACAGGGGGACUGUGCAUUUUGCUUUUUGCUUGGAUUUCAACUCCAAAGUUGUGAGGAAUUUGGAAUGAGAUGGGACAUUUCAGAAGAAGACCAAGGAGAGGAAGAAGAAGUUGUUGCAGUCCUGGCGAAAUCUUUUUUUCCUAGCUAAUAAAAGAAGUUAGUGUGGGGAAAAAAAAAAAAAAAGUAUUUUUUUUUCCUUCACUCGUAUAUUCUUUG